UAUAUUUUUUACACACAACACUAUACAUAUUUUUUUUAUUUAACUCAACGUUACAAUGCCUUAUAUCGGCUGAAUGGAACAAUCGCUACGCAGACGCUACGCGGCGUACUAGAUGCUACGGGAUGAAUAAUGCGUUAAUAAGUCGUAAAUCAGCGCUCGAUAAUGCCAACUAUUUACAGUUUUAUAGUACGAAUGAGUUAUUGUACCUUUUUAAAAGCAAUAAAACUUUCAACUUGUCUUAAAAUUACAAUUAUUUGUGAGACAAUGUAUCUUUUUGUAGAUUUAAAUUAAAGAUUUAAAUAUUUGACUAAAUUAUUCGUAUGAUGAAGCUUACUGAUUGCAAAUUCAUAGAAAAAAAUAAUUAAAGUUGACGUAACAUUGUAAUAUUUUUCUAAAAAUCUAGAAUCACAUUUAAUGCGUCCAAAAAUUCGUUGUCAUUUCGAUAAAAAAUAUUUUAAAUGCUGGAAUUCAUAUAAAAUCUAUUCAUGUCGCGUUCGUUAUACAUUUGCUAAAUUUAUUUCGCUUUGCUGCCCACGUUCAUAAUAGUACAUAACUAAUGAUUACAUUUUUAGAUGUUGCAUAAAAAUAUAAAAAAGAUCCACGGAAUUAAAUUAUUUAAAACCAUUAAAAAAUAUAUUCUAUUAAAAUUAUCAUUAAGAAAAAGUUUUUUUUUUAAGAAAAAAUUUAUUAAGUUUUAAGCUAGAAAUAGAUUUUUUAUUCAUUCUUUUUUUAAACUGGCAAUUAAAACUAUAUGAUAGAUUUAAAAAAAUCAUUGAAUUCGCUAGGGACUAUUAAUAUACCCAUACAAAAAAUUGUAUUAUAAAUUUUGACAAAAAUUUAAAAAUAACUUGAUGUAGAAAUCUUUACAAAACGUUCAUUAUAAUAACAAAUAUAUAUUUAAAAUAACUAUAUUAAAAUUAUCUUCAUCACAAUUUGAAUUUAGAACAAUUAAUCGAUUCUUUUACAGCAAUUUAAAAUUGCUACUUAAUUUUAUUCAUACAUAAAACCUUAGAUUCUUUCAUCGAGUUAGUCCACAUAACUUUUUAUAGUGUAUAUUUUCAAAUUUGAAUCUAAUUUAAAGCAUUUAUUUUUGAAGACCAUCAUAUUUAAUGAGAUUUCAUAAUAUAUUUGCAUCAUUAACGACUUUAACUGCGCCAUUAUUGCCGUUAUAUAAAUAGCUAUAUCAGUAUACGUAACCUUCAACUAUAUUAAUGAUUUAAAAUCGAUUUUUCACGUCCUUCCUAGAAUAUCUGUCAGAUAUGCGCAAGCGUAGUCCUUAACCAUGUCGCAGAGAAUUUAAAUAAGCUGAGGGCUUAUUCAAAUAUUUACGAUAAAACUCUAGUUGAGGAAUUCUUUUCAUAUGUGAUGAAAAUUUUAAUAAUGAUCUGGAUUUUAAUAACACAUAUUAAAAAAUAGAUUUUUUUAUAUGAAGUUAGUGUCAUAAUUCAUACAUACAUAUGUCUAACUUCCAAGCUAGACACAUGUCUAGUUACCAAGUGGACAUUUGUCUUGCGACGUGAACUAUACUGACUAUAUUAAAUGUUUGUAAAUGUCAUAUAAAAGUGACGAUCGUAUAACUACUGGGUUAGCCUGCAGCUGUUCUCUUGGCGGAUGUAUAAAUUUGAUGUGGCAUUCUUGGCCGAUAUACGCUCCGGUCACGGGAGAGAGACGCCGAUUAUUUCUGUAAUAUCGGAUUAUUUUCAUAGUGUCCGAUUAUUUUAUUAAUGGUGUUCCAUUGAAUGUGUGUCGUAAAUUAGAUUUUUUUACUACAUUUAUAUUGCAUGGACGACGUUUCGGAAUUAGACCAAUGAAAUGUCCUGUUUGAUUCCGUUUUCGUGGUAUAUUUUGGUUGUGAUUGAAGUAACAAUACCAAUUUGCAAUGAGCAUCCAUUAUCACUCACCGUGUAAACGUCUCCCGGUCAAGAGUGCGGAAAAUUCCAGAACAUUAAUCAAGCAAGGCUAAGAUAUCAUAAAUGAGUGAUGGCUGGAUAUUUACAUGCCUCAAGGAGUUUGAGCCAAAUAGGUCAAGUAAUUUUGGAUAGGAAGCCAAGAUGACAGCUAUGAAGUUCUCACUGGGUCUUCAAAAUUAUUGCAAGGCUUUUUAACGAAACUUUGUAUAUACACCAAUUAGUUAAAACUAGCACAUUACGUUUGAUGAUACGAAACCUUUUAUUUUGCUCUGUUACUAACAGCUUAGGUCAUUUUUACCAAACUGUAAAUAAGUAUAUUCAAUGGUCCAUAGCUCUUCUUUUUUCUUCAUUAUUUUAAUAUGAGUUUAUUUACUUGGUAAUUUUUAUUCGGUCCAUAGAGUUAUAAGUUCCAAGUAUAAUUUUAACGCAAUUAUCAAUAGUGUAAUAAGUCUAAGAUAUGUCUUCAAGGCAUAACUGAUAAGGCUGUUACCGCGGCUUUACUUUCGCUUGAGUGAUCAUCCUUUCUGACGAUACCUAUUUAUGUUCACAUCAAUACUAGUAAAAAAGACAUUAUAAAAUACUUAUUUGAUAAAAAAAUAUGAAGUUUCAAUGUUUCUGGACGUAACGAGUCUUAAGACGUCGCAGUUUAGUCACAAAACGUUUAAAACAGUUUUUUUUAAGGUAUGGUACUUGGAUAAAAAUUUUGUGUAUCUAAAUUAUAGUGAAUAGACCUUUUUCUUAGAAGUAUUAAAGAAAAUGCAGAACAACAAUGAAAUUACUGUUUUUAUUUUAUACCAAAUCUCCAUACGAAUAAAACUUAUGCAUUAAAUUAAUACAACUUGCGUUCGAUUGGAAAAUUUGCGUAAAUCCUAAACGUUUCCCAAAUACCAUUUAAAUAUCACAUACACGAAAGUCGUGGUGGCCUGGAGGUUAAAGGCCCGCCUCUCAUAUUGAGGGCGCGGGUUCGAAACCUGGCAAGUACCAAUGUGAUCUUUUCCGAGUCAUAUGUACUUUCUAAGAGUAUUUAGACACCACUGAUAGACGGUGAAGGAAAACUUCGUGAGGAAACCUGGUCUUAUAAUUUCAAAUUAUUAGAUUGAAAUCGCCAACCCGUCUUGAGCAAGCGUGGUGAUUAAUUCUCUAACCUUCUCCAUGUGAGAAGAGGCCUUUGCUCAGCAGUGGGCUCCGAUAGGCUGAUGAUGUAUGAUGUAUCAAAUUCACAGUAUAAAUGAAAUAUUUUAGGAAUUUGUAAUAUUAAUUAUGGUGAAGGUUUUUCAGGUAAUUUUAAACUGUAAUGUGGGUAGAAUGAAAUUGAGUAUAACUGGAUUUAGAAUUAAAAUAAUAAGCAUUAAAUCAACUCAUAUGAUUCAAUGAAUUCCAGUGAUUUAUCUGAUAUGAGCCUUAUUUGUUAUUUAAAACUGGUCUUGUGACUUUAUUUUGACGAUUUCCAUUGUAAUAAAGACAUUUUUAUAUCUUCCAUUUUGUCUGUCUAUACACUGCUUUAUUGAUUUUUGUUUUUUUUUUUUUCAUUUUCAUAUAUCUAUGGUCUCCAUGCAUUCAGCCUCUUUCAGACGUAUGUAGGCGAGAAAAUAUACAUUGAAAAAAGCAAGAUUUAAUAUUAUUAUUUUAUAUUAUCUGUUAGGGUUUUUUCAAUGGACUUUUUAUAAUGUAAUUAACAUUCUUUUAUAUAUAAUUAAAUGUAAAUUAAAGCCAUAGUAUAUUUUUGCUAUGUAAAUGUGUUUUUUUUUUCAAUAUUUAACACGGGAAUAGAUAGAGAUACAAAAUUUUAUAUCAUAAAUAUAUUCGAAAAUGUGAUUUUUGGUCCGUAUUAUUUUAGACAAAUCCUUUUAGAGAAGAUAUAUUUAGAUAAAAUAUACAUGCAUUACACCAACAUCUUUGAUUUCUUCCAACUAAACAAUUUUUAUAUGAAAUAAAUGAAAAUUUAAUUUAUUAUAAUUAACUUAUAUCUGAAUUACUAUAAAUUUACAAAACAGAUUAGUAAUGAUAUUUUUUUUAUCCGUUGGACAUAUAUAAGAAAAGAAAAAAUGAAAAAAUAGAGCGCUCGUAAGGAAAUAAAAUAAAGAUAUGGUUUCAACAUUACAAUUCUGAUUUUAUUUGACAUUUAUAAUUUAUAUAUAUACAUAUAAAUUAUAUAAAUAUAUAUUUUACAAUUGUUUUUUCUCCGCGUAAAUCUCUGAUGUUUCUUCCUCAUUGAAAAGUAUCUGCAAAAAGAGUUUACAUUUGGUUAGAUUAUAAAAUAAUCUUUUAUUCAAGUCUAUAAUACAUUUAAAUUUCUUGUAAAUUGAUAUACCACUAUAAUUAUUAAUUUUAAUUUUUUUUAUAAAUAUUCAUAAAUAAAUUUAAGAUAUAAGUUCGUAUUUUUUUGAUAUUCGAUCAUUUAAAAUUGCCAACGAAAAUGUUAAAAGUUUUGUAAAUCACGAAUAACAUCCCGUCGUCUUUGAAGAUAUGGCAAAUGGGAUUUGUGUUGUAAAAUACGACUAGUUUACUAGACUGCAAUUAUACGAGUUUACUGAAAAUUUUAGAUAAAAUAUUUCGUUAGAUCAAAGGAUAUAAUUUAGAUGAAAACGAGUUUACACAACUUGACAAAUAAAUUUUAUUAAAGCUUUACAUUUAAUUUCAUUCGUUCGAAUUAUAUGAACAAAUGUAUUUACAUUUACUUUCAUUUGAAAGAGUGAAAUGAAUGGAGUUUUUGCAAUAAUUUAAUGUAUUUUCAUAUAGAAUUAUAAUUAUAAUCUUAGUUAUUUCAUAAUAUAACAUCCAAUGCCACACCUUUGGUAAUCUUCCAAACACUUUCUAUUAACGUCAAUCAUUCAGAAAUGUUUGGGAUAACUUAAUUGCGUUACAUUUAUUUCAUAUUUUUUUAUAAAAACAUAUAAUGAUUUUAUUCACAUAUAUACAUUUGUAAUAAAACUAUUUAAGAGAAUAUGGUUCUUGUACCGCGAUGGACUUGUGUCGUUGGUUUUACUACUUCAUUCAGAGACGUCAAACUGUCAGUAUGUGAGUUAUCACGCUUAAUACAUACUAGAUCGCAGAAUAAAACAUACAAUGGGAGUAUUACGAUGUAUUGUCCAAAAUAACUUGUAAAUUGUUUAAGAUUAAAAUUUAUGCGAGAAAACGCUGUCGUCAUAUUAUUUAACGGCCCACAUUACGCGUAGUUCCCUUAUUCGCGUCGGCAAAUUGUCACUGGACGGAAAUGUCAGUGGUAAAUACAUCGGCAGAUAUUCGUUAUGGUUUAUAUUUAUGUGUUUAUAAAGCAGCGUCUACAACACUGGUUUAAAAACGACGGACGAUAGUGUAGGCGGGGGUUUGGUCACGUAAAACUAUCUGAGGUCUGUAAUGAAUAUCUAUUUGAUCCGUUAUCAAACGAUAAAACAUUUUUCAUUUGUUUUUUUUUUUACUAUUUUAAUGCUUUAUUUUUUACAUCCACUCUCGUUCCCUGUAAUUCUCUUGACGUAUUUUGGGUAAUUCUUAUAAUUAAUUAUUACACUUCACAUUAUCAUAGAGUUCUUUAUUAAAUUACGAGCUGAAACAAUUUUAGAACGGACAACAUAAAUUCAACGUGAUAAAAAAAAAUAAAAAAUUAAUCUCAAUUAUAUUCCACGGUCUAUAAAUCAAUUAGAGAUGUUUAGACUGCGCACAGAAAUCGAUGAUUUAAAAUAAUGUCAUAUCUCUCACCGGGUCUAUCGAUAAAAUAGUAAAAUCUUCGUAUAUAUCGUCCACAGUGUAAUAAAUAUAGUUUAUUAUAAAGUUGCCAACAAUUUUUAUGGUCUGUUAUGUCAAAACUAUCUCAUAAACCGGACAUUUUAUUCACACUCUUGCGGUUUUACAGUCGGCGACACGAUGACGUGAAUGUUACGUCAUGUCGUAUCGGAUUUAAAUGUAGUUAAUUUCGUAAAAGUUUUUAAUUUUCUGGUAUUAUGCUUUGUGCUAGAAUAACAUUAUAUAUACUUUCUCGCACAUUUAGAGAAAGGAAAUUAAAAAAAAUAUGUAUUAAAGUGAAACGAAUUCUAUAGUAUUAGGAGUAAUCGUUACUUAUAAUGAUAUUU